rnacentral:rRNA from 1 species
AUUGAACGCUGGCGGCAGGCCUAACACAUGCAAGUCGAACGGUAACAGGAAGCAGCUUGCUGCUUCGCUGACGAGUGGCGGACGGGUGAGUAAUGUCUGGGAAACUGCCUGAUGGAGGGGGAUAACUACUGGAAACGGUAGCUAAUACCGCAUAACGUCGCAAGACCAAAGAGGGGGACCUUAGGGCCUCUUGCCAUCGGAUGUGCCCAGAUGGGAUUAGCUAGUAGGUGGGGUAACGGCUCACCUAGGCGACGAUCCCUAGCUGGUCUGAGAGGAUGACCAGCCACACUGGAACUGAGACACGGUCCAGACUCCUACGGGAGGCAGCAGUGGGGAAUAUUGCACAAUGGGCGCAAGCCUGAUGCAGCCAUGCCGCGUGUAUGAAGAAGGCCUUCGGGUUGCAAAGUACUUUCAGCGGGGAGGAAGGGAGUAAAGUUAAUACCUUUGCUCAUUGACGUUACUCGCAGAAGAAGCACCGGCUAACUCCGUG